GCAGUCGAGCGGUAGGCCUCUUCGGGGGUACACGAGCGGCGAACGGGUGUGUAACACGUGAGUAAUCUGCCCUUCACUUCGGGAUAACUACCGGAAACGGUGGCUAAUACCGGAUAUGACCGUUCCUCGCAUGGGGGGUGGUGGAAAGUUCUGGCGGUGGAGGAUGAGCUCGCGGCCUAUCAGCUUGUUGGUGAGGUAGUGGCUCACCAAGGCUUCGACGGGUAGCCGGCCUGAGAGGGUGACCGGCCACACUGGGACUGAGACACGGCCCAGACUCCUACGGGAGGCAGCAGUGGGGAAUAUUGGACAAUGGGCGAAAGCCUGAUCCAGCAACGCCGCGUGAGGGAUGACGGCCUUCGGGUUGUAAACCUCUUUCAGUACCGACGAAGCGAGAGUGACGGUAGGUACAGAAGAAGCACCGGCCAACUACGUGCCAGCAGCCGCGGUAAUACGUAGGGUGCGAGCGUUGUCCGGAAUUAUUGGGCGUAAAGGGCUCGUAGGCGGUUUGUCACGUCGGGAGUGAAAACUCGGGGCUUAACUCCGAGCCUGCUUCCGAUACGGGCUGACUAGAGGGUAUGCAGGGGAGAACGGAAUUCCUGGUGUAGCGG
rnacentral:rRNA from 1 species